rnacentral:rRNA from 1 species
UACGGAGGGGGCGAGCGUUAUUCGGAAUUACUGGGCGUAAAGGGCGCGUAGGCGGCCAGCACAAGUCAGUUGUGAAAUCUCCGAGUUUAACUCGGAAAGGUCAACUGAUACUGUGCGGCUAGAGUGCGGAAGGGGCAACUGGAAUUCUUGGUGUAGCGGUGAAAUGCGUAGAUAUCAAGAGGAACACCUGCGGCGAAGGCGGGUUGCUGGGCCGACACUGACGCUGAGGCGCGAAAGCUAGGGGAGCGAACGGG